AUUGAACGCUGGCGGCAGGCCUAACAUAUGCAAGUCGAACGAGUGGCGGACGGGUGAGUAAUGUCUGGGUAACUGCCAGAUGGAGGGGGGUAAGUACUGGAAACGGUAGCUAAUAGCGCAUACCAUCGGAUGUGCCCAGGUGGGAUUAGCUAGUAGGUGGGGGAAAGGCUCACCUAGGCGCCGAUACCUAGCUGGUCUGAGAGGGUGACGGGCCACAAUGAAACUGAGACACGGUGCAGAGUCCUACAGGGGGCAGCAGUGGGGAAUAUUGCACAAUGGGCGCAAGCCUGAUGCAGCCAGGCCGGGUGUAUGACGAAGGCCUUCGGGUUGUAAAGUAAUGUCCGGAGGGAGGCGUUAGCAGCAGAAAAAGCACCGGCUAACUCCGUGCGAGCAGCCGCGGUAAUAC
rnacentral:rRNA from 1 species